rnacentral:rRNA from 1 species
UACGUAGGGCGCAAGCGUUAUCCGGAAUUAUUGGGCGUAAAGAGCUCGUAGGCGGUUUGUCGCGUCUGCCGUGAAAGUCCGGGGCUCAACUCCGGAUCUGCGGUGGGUACGGGCAGACUAGAGUGAUGUAGGGGAGACUGGAAUUCCUGGUGUAGCGGUGAAAUGCGCAGAUAUCAGGAGGAACACCAACAGCGAAGGCAGCACUCUGGGCCGGUACUGACGCUGAGGAGCGAAAGCAUGGGGAGCGAACAGG